AGUGGAAUGACUGGGUCAAAUGGUGGUUCUAGUCCACGUUUUCUGAGCAAUCUCCAUACUUUUUCCCAUAAUGGUUGUACCAAUUUGCAGUCCUACCAACAAU
rnacentral:pre_miRNA from 1 species